GGGUUGUGAGGUUAAGCGACUAAGCGUACACGGUGGAUGCCCUGGCAGUCAGAGGCGAUGAAGGACGUGCUAAUCUGCGAUAAGCGUCGGUAAGGUGAUAUGAACCGUUAUAACCGGCGAUUUCCGAAUGGGGAAACCCAGUGUGUUUCGACACACUAUCAUUAACUGAAUCCAUAGGUUAAUGAGGCGAACCGGGGGAACUGAAACAUCUAAGUACCCCGAGGAAAAGAAAUCAACCGAGAUUCCCCCAGUAGCGGCGAGCGAACGGGGAGCAGCCCAGAGCCUGAAUCAGUAUGUGUGUUAGUGGAAGCGUCUGGAAAGGCGCGCGAUACAGGGUGACAGCCCCGUACACAAAAAUGCACAUAUUGUGAGCUCGAUGAGUAGGGCGGGACACGUGGUAUCCUGUCUGAAUAUGGGGGGACCAUCCUCCAAGGCUAAAUACUCCUGACUGACCGAUAGUGAACCAGUACCGUGAGGGAAAGGCGAAAAGAACCCCGGCGAGGGGAGUGAAAAAGAACCUGAAACCGUGUACGUACAAGCAGUGGGAGCACGCUUAGGCGUGUGACUGCGUACCUUUUGUAUAAUGGGUCAGCGACUUAUAUUCUGUAGCAAGGUUAACCGAAUAGGGGAGCCGAAGGGAAACCGAGUCUUAACUGGGCGUUAAGUUGCAGGGUAUAGACCCGAAACCCGGUGAUCUAGCCAUGGGCAGGUUGAAGGUUGGGUAACACUAACUGGAGGACCGAACCGACUAAUGUUGAAAAAUUAGCGGAUGACUUGUGGCUGGGGGUGAAAGGCCAAUCAAACCGGGAGAUAGCUGGUUCUCCCCGAAAGCUAUUUAGGUAGCGCCUCGUGAAUUCAUCUCCGGGGGUAGAGCACUGUUUCGGCAAGGGGGUCAUCCCGACUUACCAACCCGAUGCAAACUGCGAAUACCGGAGAAUGUUAUCACGGGAGACACACGGCGGGUGCUAACGUCCGUCGUGAAGAGGGAAACAACCCAGACCGCCAGCUAAGGUCCCAAAGUCAUGGUUAAGUGGGAAACGAUGUGGGAAGGCCCAGACAGCCAGGAUGUUGGCUUAGAAGCAGCCAUCAUUUAAAGAAAGCGUAAUAGCUCACUGGUCGAGUCGGCCUGCGCGGAAGAUGUAACGGGGCUAAACCAUGCACCGAAGCUGCGGCAGCGACGCUGAUGCGUUGUUGGGUAGGGGAGCGUUCUGUAAGCCUGCGAAGGUGUGCUGUGAGGCAUGCUGGAGGUAUCAGAAGUGCGAAUGCUGACAUAAGUAACGAUAAAGCGGGUGAAAAGCCCGCUCGCCGGAAGACCAAGGGUUCCUGUCCAACGUUAAUCGGGGCAGGGUGAGUCGACCCCUAAGGCGAGGCCGAAAGGCGUAGUCGAUGGGAAACAGGUUAAUAUUCCUGUACUUGGUGUUACUGCGAAGGGGGGACGGAGAAGGCUAUGUUGGCCGGGCGACGGUUGUCCCGGUUUAAGCGUGUAGGCUGGUUUUCCAGGCAAAUCCGGAAAAUCAAGGCUGAGGCGUGAUGACGAGGCACUACGGUGCUGAAGCAACAAAUGCCCUGCUUCCAGGAAAAGCCUCUAAGCAUCAGGUAACAUCAAAUCGUACCCCAAACCGACACAGGUGGUCAGGUAGAGAAUACCAAGGCGCUUGAGAGAACUCGGGUGAAGGAACUAGGCAAAAUGGUGCCGUAACUUCGGGAGAAGGCACGCUGAUAUGUAGGUGAAGUCCCUCGCGGAUGGAGCUGAAAUCAGUCGAAGAUACCAGCUGGCUGCAACUGUUUAUUAAAAACACAGCACUGUGCAAACACGAAAGUGGACGUAUACGGUGUGACGCCUGCCCGGUGCCGGAAGGUUAAUUGAUGGGGUUAGCCGCAAGGCGAAGCUCUUGAUCGAAGCCCCGGUAAACGGCGGCCGUAACUAUAACGGUCCUAAGGUAGCGAAAUUCCUUGUCGGGUAAGUUCCGACCUGCACGAAUGGCGUAAUGAUGGCCAGGCUGUCUCCACCCGAGACUCAGUGAAAUUGAACUCGCUGUGAAGAUGCAGUGUACCCGCGGCAAGACGGAAAGACCCCGUGAACCUUUACUAUAGCUUGACACUGAACAUUGAGCCUUGAUGUGUAGGAUAGGUGGGAGGCUUAGAAGUGUGGACGCCAGUCUGCAUGGAGCCGACCUUGAAAUACCACCCUUUAAUGUUUGAUGUUCUAACGUUGACCCGUAAUCCGGGUUGCGGACAGUGUCUGGUGGGUAGUUUGACUGGGGCGGUCUCCUCCUAAAGAGUAACGGAGGAGCACGAAGGUUGGCUAAUCCUGGUCGGACAUCAGGAGGUUAGUGCAAUGGCAUAAGCCAGCUUGACUGCGAGCGUGACGGCGCGAGCAGGUGCGAAAGCAGGUCAUAGUGAUCCGGUGGUUCUGAAUGGAAGGGCCAUCGCUCAACGGAUAAAAGGUACUCCGGGGAUAACAGGCUGAUACCGCCCAAGAGUUCAUAUCGACGGCGGUGUUUGGCACCUCGAUGUCGGCUCAUCACAUCCUGGGGCUGAAGUAGGUCCCAAGGGUAUGGCUGUUCGCCAUUUAAAGUGGUACGCGAGCUGGGUUUAGAACGUCGUGAGACAGUUCGGUCCCUAUCUGCCGUGGGCGCUGGAGAACUGAGGGGGGCUGCUCCUAGUACGAGAGGACCGGAGUGGACGCAUCACUGGUGUUCGGGUUGUCAUGCCAAUGGCACUGCCCGGUAGCUAAAUGCGGAAGAGAUAAGUGCUGAAAGCAUCUAAGCACGAAACUUGCC
rnacentral:rRNA from 1 species